GCCAAUUGCGGCGGCCUACCAUGCAGUCGAGCGGAACGAGUUAUCUGAACCUUCGGGGAACGUUAACGGCGUCGAGCGGCGGACGGGUGAGUAAUGCCUAGGAAAUUGCCCUGAUGUGGGGGAUAACCAUUGGAAACGAUGGCUAAUACCGCAUGAUGCCUACGGGCCAAAGAGGGGGACCUUCGGGCCUCUCGCGUCAGGAUAUGCCUAGGUGGGAUUAGCUAGUUGGUGAGGUAAGGGCUCACCAAGGCGACGAUCCCUAGCUGGUCUGAGAGGAUGAUCAGCCACACUGGAACUGAGACACGGUCCAGACUCCUACGGGAGGCAGCAGUGGGGAAUAUUGCACAAUGGGCGCAAGCCUGAUGCAGCCAUGCCGCGUGUGUGAAGAAGGCCUUCGGGUUGUAAAGCACUUUCAGUCGUGAGGAAGGUUUAUGCGUUAAUAGCGUAUAGAUUUGACGUUAGCGACAGAAGAAGCACCGGCUAACUCCGUGCCAGCAGCCGCGGUAAUACGGAGGGUGCGAGCGUUAAUCGGAAUUACUGGGCGUAAAGCGCAUGCAGGUGGUUUGUUAAGUCAGAUGUGAAAGCCCGGGGCUCAACCUCGGAAUAGCAUUUGAAACUGGCAGACUAGAGUACUGUAGAGGGGGGUAGAAUUUCAGGUGUAGCGGUGAAAUGCGUAGAGAUCUGAAGGAAUACCGGUGGCGAAGGCGGCCCCCUGGACAGAUACUGACACUCAGAUGCGAAAGCGUGGGGAGCAAACAGGAUUAGAUACCCUGGUAGUCCACGCCGUAAACGAUGUCUACUUGGAGGUUGUGGCCUUGAGCCGUGGCUUUCGGAGCUAACGCGUUAAGUAGACCGCCUGGGGAGUACGGUCGCAAGAUUAAAACUCAAAUGAAUUGACGGGGGGCCCGCACAAGCGGUGGAGCAUGUGGUUUAAUUCGAUGCAACGCGAGACCUUUACCUACUCUUGACAUCCAGAAGAACUUUCCAGAGAUGGAAUUGGUGCCUUUCAG
rnacentral:rRNA from 1 species